UGUCUGUGGACAUGUACUUGAGUCGUUCGUCGAAGGGGAGCUCGAAAAAUCUUUUGCAGACCUCGGUCAUCCUAUGGAUAAUAUCUGUGGAAAUGCCAUGAUUAACCACCUGCGGCAAUACGUAUGAGCAGCUUAAAAUGGCAAUGUAUGUCAGAACUGAUUGGCUCCUAGCAUCUGAUAUUUUAGCUCACAAAGUGGUUACAAGUGAUGUUGCUAACUUAGAGUUCUAGGUUGUAUUUGGGCAAAUAUAGUUGUUGAAUAACAAGAACGUGGCAAGACUAAGUCCGGUCCAUUGUCUACGAUCUGAGGUAUUAUCAUUAAUUGAAUCUCAUUGUUUGUUAUCAGGCUGCUAUUACUUGACUCUGAUUUUUACCUUCUUUCAACCUGUGAGCCGACAAAUCUUAAAAGUAUUGGGAAAAUGAGUAAACCUUUGGGGCUCAUAAUCAGUGGUAUAGCCGUAUAGGGGUCCUCGAAAUCGAUUAUAAAAAUUAGAUGAAUACAAAAAAGUGGAGGGGCCAUGACAUUCUUUCUUAUAAAUUUCACAUUUUUUAUAAUUUUUCUAAAAAAAUGCAGUAUGAUAUAUAAUUUAUGGUGUAUUGUUCACUAUACAUAGUUUUUUUUGAUGUUAAUGGUGUCAUUGUUACUUUCUUUGUCCGUUUGAUGAUGCUACAACCCACAAUUGGACAAGUAUAAAAAAAAUGGUUGAGACAUUAAAAUUAUAUGAAUACAUUUAAAAGUAAAGAGAAGUUGUACAAAUAAGAAUUUAAAUAAGUAACAGGAUAUUAUCCAAAAUACAAAUAUUGUAAAGUAAAUGAGACGAACCAAAAUAAAAAAAUAUAUACAAGCUAUUGGGAAAAGUGAGUAAAAUAGAAGACCAUAGAAUUGUUUUUCAACUUUAUAAGUAUAAUUGUUUUUUCAAUUAAUUUUCUUAACAUUUUAAUAGGAAAUGAAUAAAAGAAAAUUAAAUGGUAAAAGGGACAAGAAAGGAACCAAAUUUCUUACUUUGAACAUAGGCCUAAGCUUUGAAUAUUCCAAUGGUUGUUGAUUUGGGUGGUUGGGGAUAUAUGGUUACUUAUUAAAUACAUAAUUAGUAACUUAGUAACAGAAUCAUUUUAAAUACAUAAUUUGAUCUUUUAUCCUGAAAAAUUAACUAUUCAAGAUUUAAAAAGGGCGUCAUUCUAAAUUAUGAUUUUGAGAAAUUAUAAUUAUAAAAAAUUACACAGUCAUUAUAAAAAUGGAAAAAAUUGGAAUAGAAAUGAUAAGCAAGUAGCAUGUAAUUACAAUUUUUAUGCGCACUUGCUAGGAAGAGUAGGAGUCAUCUGGUUCAAAUUAGUUGUUAUAAUUUUUGGUUUCACGCUAUUUAAUGUCUUGUUUUGAGCGUUGCUAUCUGUAUAUGUACAUAUUUUAAAUUAUAAAAAGUUGAUAUUAUAAAAUUAUUUAUUGAGAGGAAUUAAACAGAAUCUCACCGUAUAUGUUUUUUUAAUGGUUUCUUAUGAAGUACAUAAAGAAUAAGAACUUUAACAUUAUUAAUCAACAAAUGAUCGGUAUACUACCAACUACCAAGCAGAAACGAAGAAAGAAAGUAAGAUCAUUGAGGAAAGGAGAUGGUUAAUGCAAUCAUUGAACCAUAACAAUUUGCUAGGAAAUGAAAUGAAAGUGCAAUUAACAAACUGACCUUAACGUGAUUAAUUGUAGCCUUAAAUUGAUAUAUUAUCCCCUUAAUUAAAGAGAUGACUUAUCACCUAAAAGUGAUAACUUUUGUUGCUAAAUUGAUUAUUUAUUGCUUAUAAUUACUCAUUUUAAGGUUAUUUAAGAUGACCUUAACGUGAUUACUUAUAACGUUAAAGUAAUGACUAACCACCUUAAAGUGAUGAUUUAUCACCUUAAAUUGAUGACUUACAUUAUUAAAUUUUAGAAAAUACAUAGCACAAAUCUAUCGGAGACCAAAAUAAAAAUGAAAAUAUUGAUGAAGAACAGGAAGAAUGAUAAGAACCAGAAGAAUACUAGACCUAAAAUGGUUGUGAAGUCAACAAACCUGUAAAAACAAUUACAGUAGGGUCUAAAGUUUUAAUCUUUAUCCUUAGAAAUCACCCACGACCAAUGGUAAGGGUGUUCAAUGCAAUGAAACAACACUUCAAUAAUAAGCAAUGAGAAACAAUACGAAACAAAGCAAAAUCAAAAACAUAAGAUUUACGAGGUUCACCUCAAUGUGGGUUACGUCAUUGGUGGUGGUUAACUUGCUUGAUUAUGUGAAGAAAUAAUGGAGUUCUCAAGAACUCUUACAAAGAAAUAUUACACUUGGAGAAGAUCAAAGAAAAUGGGUUUGUGUUUAGCUAGGGUUUUUAAUCCACAUUGGAGGGAGUGUAUGAGACUCCUAUUUAUAGUCGAAGUUGUAUACAAAUGAUUGGGCAAGAGCCCACAUUAAAACAUUCCAGUAAAACUUAUCGCACAAGAAAACAGAGUGCAUUCUGGACCCUCGCUCGAUCGGUCGAGCGAAAUAGCCUUGGUCGAGCGGCUUAAAUUCCAGUCGAGCAGCAGAUUAGAAUGCUCACUGAUCUGGUCGAGCCAACUGGCUCGGUCGAGCAUGCCACAGUGUGGGUCGAGCGGCUCAUCAAAAAGUUCAUAAUGACUCCCACCUCAUCAUACACACACAUACACACAUCCACACACCAUCAAUUCUCAUUAUACACUAUGCACUCAAAGUCACACCAAAAAAACCCAACAAAACCACUUUUUUUUGAAUAAAAUUCAAACAUCUAUAUCAAACAAAAGGUUGCACCUUGCCUAUGUAGUAUUCUGUGUUUUACUUGGGAUCUUGGUAGAAUUAGAAGUUUUGCUGAAGAGGAAGAAAAGAUUGCAGAGAUACUUUAAAGAAGAAGAAACUGAAUGGUUUCCAAUUUCCAGCAAAAAUUUAAAACUUCUACGGUUUUUGUUUUUUAUCUUUUUUGAAACUAAAUCUAAACAGUUUUUUCUCAAUUGGAUUGGACUGGCCCAUAUUAAGUCGUCUCAUCGUGAGACGGUCUUAUUAAAGAAUUUGUCUAUGCCAAAACUUCUUUUGCACUAUCUUGCUCCAUUCGUUGUUUAAUAAAGCAAAAAAAACAUGAUCAACUUCUAGAAUGCACAUUUUAUAUGCACAAAAUCAAUAAAGACAAACUUGCUUUGAUGAUUUCCAAAGUCUUAAGCUUAAUUUGGCCAAGAAUUAACUUUUGGAUUUAAUCUCUACUUUCCCUACUCCUUACUGCAUUUAGUAGAGUUUGAAAAUACUUAGUCACACUAAGCGAAGUCUAGGUUGAAUAAAUUCACCAAUCACAACAAAUAGAUAAAUAAUAGUUACUUUGCAAAUUGCAAGUGUAGUAACUAACUAAACCAGAGAGUUAAUAUAUUCAAGUUUAUUAUUAUUGUAGUUUUUUAAUACAUUGUGAAAGUAAAGAUGGAAGCCUCAACAUAUUUGAGGCCCUGUGCAAUGGCAUCACCUGGCUUUUGUAUAAGAGUUGUCAAACCUUUUUCUAAGUUAUAAAUUUUCUUUAGUAAUUGAGUUUUAACUUUCAUUUGUGUAUGCGUUGAAGAACGACAUAAGUUGGCCCAAGUUAUGAGCAUCUUGUGUUCAUGAUUUUAAGGUCAUGCAUUCAAUCCUUCUCAUUUUAAGGUCAUGACUUUUUCUUAUUUGUCUCUCCCACACUAAGCACCACUCCUCAAAUUCAGAUUGAAGGACCUCUAACUCAUAUCUAGUAGAGAGCCAUUUACCAAUUACCAUACCAUCAUUUAAAAAGUAAAUGUCAACUAGAUUUGCGUUGAGUAUCUUAAAAUUUUUUAAUUACCUAUUUUAGCCAAUUAGACUCCCACCUAGCCUCCUAGAUAUAGCGCUGGUUGUCAUUUAUGCUUUUUGUCGUGCGUCAAUAUGAAGGAAAAGAGC